rnacentral:rRNA from 1 species
AAUUUAUUUUAUUAAUUUAUUUUUUUUUAUAUUUAAUUUUAUAAAAAUAAUUUAUUUUUUUUUGUUUAAGUAUUUAUUAAGAAAAAAUUUAAAAAUUUAUAGUUUAUUAGUAUUGUAAAAGAAUUAAAUUUAAAUAUAAAAAAGAAUAAUUAAUUUUUAGUACCUUUUGUAUCAGGGUUAAUUAAAAUUUUUAAUUUAUUUUUAAAUUCUCAAAAUUUAUAGAGUUAAUUUUAUUAUUAAUUUAUUGUAUUAUAAAUAUUUAUUAAAUAAUAUUAGUUUUGAAAUUUAAUUCGUUAUAAAAUAUUUAGUUAUUUAAGAUUUAAAUUUAAUUUAAAAUUUUAAAAGUUAUAUUAAUUUUUAUUAAUUAUAUUUUAAUUUUAAAUUAUUUUAGGGAUAAGCUUAAAAUUUUUAUAAAAUAAUUUAUUAUUUAUAAAUAAAUUUUAGGAUUAGAAAUUUUUAUUUAAGUUUGUAAAAAUUUAUUAUUUAAUUAAAUUUAAUUUAUUAUAAAAUAAUUAUUUAUUUUUUUUAUUAAAUUUUAUAAGUUAAUUAAUAAUUUAUAGUAAUAAUGAUUAAAUUAGUAUAAUUGUAAUUUAUAUUUUAUGAAUUCGGCAAAAAUUAUUUUCAUCUGUUUAACAAAAACAUUGUAUUAAGUUUAAUUUAAUAUAGGAUCUGCUCAAUGAUGAUAAAUUAAAUAGCUGCAGUAUUUUGACUGUGCAAAGGUAGCAUAAUAAUUAGUCUUUUAAUUGAAGACUAGAAUGAAAGAUUUGAUGAGAAAUAAACUUUAUUAUUUAUAUAAUUAAAAUUUUAUUUUUAAGUAAAAAAGCUUAAAUUAUUUUAAGGGACGAUAAGACCCUAUAAAACUUUAUAAAUUUUUUUUUUUAAUUUUUUGGUUAAUAAAUUAAUUAAAUUAAUUAAAUUUAUUUUAUUGGGGUGAUAAAAAAAAUAAAAUAACUUUUUUUAAAAAUUAACAUAUUUUAGUGAUUUUUUGAAUUAAAAAUUUUAAUUAUAAGAAAAAGUUACUUUAGGGAUAACAGCGUAAUUAAUUUUUUAAGUUCAAAUUUGAAAAUUAGAUUGCGACCUCGAUGUUGAAUUAAGAUUAUUCUUAGGUGCAAAAUUUUAAGUUUUAGGUCUGUUCGACCUUUAAAUUCUUACAUGAUUUGAGUUCAAACCGGUGUAAGCCAGGUUGGUUUCUAUCUUUAAUUUUUUUUUUUGUUUUAGUACGAAAGGAUUAAAUAAAAAAAUUAAAUUUUUUUUUAAAAAUAAAAUUAUUAAUUUA